CACCAUUUACCUCAUUUAACCAAAUAUGCUAGUUUUAAAUACUCAAAAUUAUGUUACAAACAAAAUUUAAAAAAUUUAGUAUGGGGCACGUGCCCCACUUUCUAUACAACUAGAUCUGUCUCUGGGUCCGGCUCUGGGCUAAAGCCCAUGAAGCAAGUAUUUUAGGCGCCAAAUAUAAUAAGUAUUUUAAAGACGCCAAAUUUAUCAAAAGUACCUUCAACCUAGUGGUUGCAUUCUUUCUAUUCCCUCUUACCCUACACGGGUACAAAUCCCACCUGGCCUCUUUUUUUUUUUUUUCUUCAUCAUAUUUGUUCCUUUUCUAUGAAUAAUAACUAGACCUUGAUCCGCCCGACCGGGCGGGUAUUUAUUUUAUGUUUUUAGUUUUUUUUUUGUUUAUAUUAAAUGACGUAUUUGUAAUAUUAAAACAUAAAUUCAUAUUGAAAAUUAAUCUUUAUAGUUAUAAGAAAAAUAAAAAUUAAAAGUUUAAUAAAAUAUUCUGAUAUAAAUUUUAAAUUUCGUAAUUAAAAUAAUAUAGAGGCGGUCAUAUUUUUUUCAAUUUCAAAAUCUAAGCUUCCUACACGGGUACAAAUCCCACCUAGCCUCUUUUUUUUUUUCUUCAUCAUAUUUGUUCCUUUUCUAUGAAUAAUAACUAGACCUUGACCCGCCCGACCGGGCGGGUAUUUAUUUUAUGUUUUUAGUUUUUUUUUGUUUAUAUUAAAUGACGUAUUUGUAAUAUUAAAACAUAAAUUCAUAUUGAAAAUUAAUCUUUAUAGUUAUAAUAAAAAUAAAAAUUAAAAGUUUAAUAAAAUAUUCUGAUAUAAAUUUUAAAUUUCGUAAUUAAAAUAAUAUAGAGGCGGUCAUAUUUUUUUCAAUUUCAAAAUCUAAGCUUCCUUAAAGACAAAGAAAAUAAAUUUAUAAAUACAUAAAAUAUAUAAACUUAUUUGGAACUAUAAUUUCAAUUAAAAGAAAUUUGUUAAAGAAAAAUAAUCUUACUGUUGUUAUUUAUUUCUAGAGCUUGACCCGUGACCGUAUAAAUAUUUUCUUUCACUUUAAU
rnacentral:lncRNA from 1 species